GGCUCCAUGAGGGCCAAGCAUGCUUCCUGUGGAGACUGAUCCUCUCAGGAUGGUGCUCAAGAUGUGCAAGGUCUGGAAGAGAGCGAGAAGCUUGUCCCAGCUCAGGGCUGCCAGACACUUCCCAAAAGCAUCUGGUUUCCCAAAGUGAAAGGAAAGAAUGCUCUGAACUCUAGGAAACUGAGACAUCAAGGAACCACUGCACCCCACAGUCGGCCUACUAGGAGAGAUGGCUAAGGCCCAGCACCAGGCAUGGCGCAGAGUACGAGCAUCCGAUCUGAGGACCACUCGACGGACCACUCAGGCAUGCUUCCCACUGGAUGAGCAUCUGGGACUUCCGGGCAGUCACACAGGAAGGCCUUAUCAAGUGACCGCCAUGGCAGGAAAUAGAAGGUGAGACAACCAGGAGGCAGAAAGGAUUCUGGGAAAGAGCGAGGCACAGGAAGAUCCGC